rnacentral:tRNA from 1 species
AAAUAGGUUAGUUUGACUGUCUGUUUUCAAAACGGGAGGUGGUUACGUAUUAUGUAGUCUUUAGUUG